CCCGGGUGUGGUGGUGCAUACCUGUAAUCCCAGCUGCUUGGGAGGCUGAAGCAGGAGGAUGGAAAGUUUGAGGCCAGCCUCAGCAAUUCUAGUGAGGUGCUAAGCAACUCAGUGAGACCCUGUCUCUA
rnacentral:sRNA from 1 species